AUCGCUUCUUGGCCUUUUGGCUAAGAUCAAGUGUAGAAUUGCUUACAUUUGAUGUGUUCAAUUUGAUGAGUCUGAGUACAUGAAAAUACAGUACCAUCAUUAUAAUCAAGGGAAU
ensembl:snRNA U2 U2 spliceosomal RNA